rnacentral:tRNA from 1 species
UGGGAGAGCAUCUGCCUUACAAGCAGAGGGUCGGCGGUUCGAUCCCGUCAGCCUCCA